rnacentral:ribozyme from 1 species
UGCCCAGCAACUCCUAUCCCUCCCUCCUCGCGGUACCGGCCAAAAAUUUGAGCAACCUCAGGGAAGACCGGGUAACCAACCUCGGUGGGAGCUUUGGUCGUAGGCUGACAGGGAAGU